rnacentral:rRNA from 1 species
UACGAAGGGGGCUAGCGUUGUUCGGAGUUACUGGGCGUAAAGCGCUUGUAGGCGGUCCACCAAGUUUGGGGUGACAGUUGCCGACUUAAUCGGCAAAGUGCCUCAAAGACUGGCGGACUUGAGGGCCACAGAGGGACAUGGAACUCCAGGUGUAGUGGUGAAAUGCGUAGAUAUCUGGAAGAACACCAAAGGCGAAGGCAGUGUCCUGGGUGGUCGCUGACGCUGAGAGGCGAAAGCCAGGGGAGCGAACGGG